CAGUCUUGACAGAUGCAGCUCGGCAUUGGCAUUGUAUUCUUCUACCUGCAGGUCUCCUCCUUCUCCCUCUCCCUUCUCUGAUUUUGUACGAUUGCACCAAUAUAAUAUUUCUCGUUUAAUUUUUGUGUGCUAUCCUUCAUGCUGCUCCUACAUGAUGUUGAUUUUCAUCCGAUAGAAUUCUGAUCUAUCAAUUACAUGAUGAUUGUAAGUUAUUAAUGUCAAACAGAACUUAGGGAAUAAUGUUAAUUUGGUAUGCCCUCUCCACAUUUUUCCGGGCUAGGAACCGGCGGCAUUUGGCACGGCAGUGUUAGGCCCCCUGCCGUCAUAACAUUUAACAUACUUAAGAAACAAUUAGUGUAUUUUAUCUAUAGUUUUAAUAAUUCCCGAAGACAAACUGGGAUUUAAUAACUAAAUAGGAAAAUUGAUCUGAUUGCAAUAUACAUAUAAAAUAUAUGAUGCGCGGAUGCUCACUAUUGGCUUGCACUAUUAAUAAGAUUCAAGUAACAUAAUAUAGAGUGUUGAUGUUUGAUAUUAUUGAGCUAUUUCCAUCAAAUGUUGAUGCAUAUUUCCAAUUCCUCGACAGAGUAGUAGACAAUACUGUUAUGUCAUAUCAUGUUAGCAUAGAUAAGUCAUUUUUUAUUUUGAAGAUAGUUUGCAGUAUGCUAAAUUUCUAUAAAUGAACUUAUUAUGUAAAAAUCUGGUAGCCUCAUCUAGUGACGAAGCAUCAUACUGAAAGUGUUUUUAUACCUUUUGAAUAUUUCUUUAUAGACUAUGUCCUUGACCACAUCAUAUAUUCUAAUUGCUAUCUUCAUCAUUUACCGUUACUCCUCCUAGUCCAUCCCUUUUUGUGACUCUUGAGAAUGAUAUGUAUAGUUGUCGCAAACACUUUCUUAGGAAGAUAUUGGACUUUACAUAGACUAAUUUGUUGAACUCCCAACUGAUAAUCAAAUUCCUUGUUGUGCUAUUGUGCUAACCGAGAAAGCCUAAGUUAUUUAGUGUCAAGAAGAUUCAUACGAAACAGCAGCUAGUAGGAAGUUCAGUGGUCUCACCAUUUGGUAUUAAUCUUCCACGAACUGUUGAUGCUCCUGAGAUUAAUUACCUUAAUGCACAGGAGGAGCGGCUUACCGGUGCUAAACUCAGCUGCAUCCUACUUCCUGUAGAACACUUUAGUAAAGACUUAAUCAUAACACAAUUAUUCAGAUGCCGAAACAUGUAUUAUUCUCAUAUGGAAUAGAUGUUUCUCAACAUGGCAUAUGAACAAAGUUAAAAGAAAAUAUAAAAGAGACCACAGUAUGCCCAAUGUGCUGCAUGGAAAUGCUUGGCUGAGUAAUUAUAUCCUUGUGAUGGCCGCUUAGGACUCCUCAAUACGCGGUAACAUUUUGGACUUUUUGAGUGAUCAUUAGUUUACAUUGAUUUGUGAAAUAAAUAUAUGAUGGUUGCCUUUCAAAUUGGGUAAUAUGAACAAUGUGAUACUCUACAGACUAAUUUGUUAAAUUCCAACCAAUAAUCAAUUUCCUAGUUGUGUUAAUGUGCUAACUAUGAAAAGCUAGGUUAUGUAGUGUCAAGAAAACAGUAUGAAGCAGUAGCUAGUAGGCAGUUAAGUGGUCUCACCAUUUGAUACUAAUAUUUUGCAGAGUGUUGAUGCUGCCGGGAUUAAUUGACUUGCUGCCCAGGAGCGAACAGCAGCAACUUACAGGUGCCGAACUUCGCUAUAUGACAUUGUAGUAAACAAAUAAAUUUAAUCACCUGAGGCAUGCAAUGGCAUAUCUGAUGGUUCAGAUUGAAUAUCACAAUCCUGGGCAGGGCGAGGGUGGAGGGGCGCACCUGCUGCUGGUACUUGUUGUCUAGUCUGGAGCAUGCAGUCUCGUGUAGGAGACACAAUGGAUUACCAUCCGAGCAGGAAGGACCAAGGCAGGCCACUUGCACCGAGUUGCCGACUCCUGUUGCCCUCGUUCUUGUUUGAGCUACAGAUCAUGAAUCGUGAGGAUGCAAUAUGCAUGACAAAUUGUUAACUUCUCAGAGCAUGUAUAUUAGUAUAGAUGGCACUAUAGACACAACCUACAAUAGGGUGCCUUCUCAGUUCUGUGCAUGGACUUUUGAUUAGAUGAAACAUUAGGUAUCUAUUGAUUGACACUAAUUAGUUCGUGUGGUCUAUGGCAGCUGCUUGUUAUGUACAUUGUCCUUCAUCCCUGUGUUAAUUUGUUGCUCUUGCAAAAAUUCAUUGCUAAUUCUUAGCAUGCCACAGCAAAAAGGAGAAGCAAAAAGAUGAACCACGGAGCAAAGAAAUUCCUAAAUUAAUGCAUGCAGCAACCAUCAUGGUUCUUUCAGCACCUUUGCAAUCCCAGACUCCAUGUUUUCUGAUAUGCAAGCAGGAUCGAGGCCACAU
rnacentral:lncRNA from 1 species